rnacentral:tRNA from 1 species
CACUCUGUAGCUCAGUUGGUUAGAGCGCUGCACCGGAAUCGCAGGGCCGUAGGUUCAAUUCCUACCAGAGGA